ACGUAGGGGGCUAGCGUUAUCCGGAAUUACUGGGCGUAAAGGGUGCGUAGGUGGUUUCUUAAGUCAGAGGUGAAAGGCUACGGCUCAACCGUAGUAAGCCUUUGAAACUGAGAAACUUGAGUGCAGGAGAGGAGAGUAGAAUUCCUAGUGUAGCGGUGAAAUGCGUAGAUAUUAGGAGGAAUACCAGUUGCGAAGGCGGCUCUCUGGACUGUAACUGACACUGAGGCACGAAAGCGUGGGGAGCAAACAGG
rnacentral:rRNA from 1 species